CAGGGCCUUGCCACGUGCCAUGAAUCCUUUUUCCCCUUUGAUAUUGCAUCUGCUCAUUGCCCCUGUCCAGAAUGUCUACUAGAAGUUCAUGGAAACACUUCCUCUUGGACUGCUCUAUGACAGUUUGAAAUCCCAGGCUCCUGAUGGCAUGUGGCUGAAGUACAAGGCUCCUGCAGAGGUUGCAGAAGCUCCUUGGACACAACUGAGUUAAGCAGAGUGAAGAGUGCACAAACCAUGGCAUGCUGCAUUUUGGAGGACAUAAUCCUGGAGGCUCCUAAAUGGCAGAAGAACAUUUAUAUUCCAAACUACAGGUGGCAAGCCAGCCCUGUAGGCUAUAGAGUAGCAGUUCUUAAACUUUAGUAACUGGAGGACCCCCAUUUUGAUUUGAUAUUUUUCACAGACCCCCCCCCAAGCUGGCUUCUUAUUUUCCCCAGGGGUGCUCAACCCCCACUCUAUCCCCUUCCCUAAGGCCUCACCCCCACCCCACCUCUUCCCAUUCCCGCUCCACCCCAGCCCCUCCUUUUCCCCGCCUCUUUCUGCCCCCUCUACUGAGCACGCCCUGUACCUGCGCCUCCUGCAGGCCGCUGAACAACUGUUCCGCAGUGUGCUGGAGGCGCUAGGAGGGAGGGGAGUAGUUGAUCAGCAGGACUGGCGGUCCCAGACAUGACUCAUGGACCCCCUAGUUUACCCUCACAGACCCCCAGGGGUACACAGAUCCCAGUUUGAGAACUACUGAGAAUUUCAAGCUCAUGGUGACUGAGCAACACAUCAGCCCACUCCAUUGUACAGAUUGUUGUACAGAGCAGGGCCUAGAAGACCUGCCCUGAAAUAGGACUACUUAUGUCGGGGGGGGGGGGGUGUUAAAAUUCAUGGUGGAAUCAACAGGCUGCUGCAUUAAUAAUCGAUGUGAACACUGCCUCCCUACAGCUUACCAUAGAGCCUGCUCUGACUGUAUGCAAAUACACACAAUGAUAUGGAGUCUCAAAGAACUGCAUGGCCAGUCUCCCUCCCCCUAUUUCUGGACUGCAUACAAACCCCAAGCUGUAUUUCAGACACUGUACUAUGUUUCACCCUCCUUCCAGCCCCCAUACAGUUUACUGUUUACAGGCAGCUUGAUACACUAUGGCAUGAUCAAUUUGUAUGGUGUGGUAUACUAAAAGGAAAGGCAAUAUACCUUUA